GUUUGGUUGUGUGAGUGAGACGCUGAGCGGUUGCUAAUUCGAUACUUUCUUUUUCUUACUUUAUUUAAUAAUGGGUUUUGAUUUAACUUAGUUCAUUGGUGACAGUGUGAUUUAGUUUACUUUUUGGUAGCGUUUGGGUGGAUAGUCGGGGUGCUCUUGGGUGUUUUUCUCCUGCCGGUGUUCUGCCGGCCGGCGUCUGACGUCAUGGCAAAUGGAGACUAUACCAAGCUAACGAGGAAGCACGGGAUCAAAAUAUCAGCCGGCUUCCCGUGUAGCGUUGAGGAGAUCGGGUUAGCUGUGGGAGACAAGGUCGGACAUGGCAGUGUGAAGUCUCUGGCGCGGAUGAACGGGGCUGUUGUCAUCUUCCUGGACCAGGUGGAGCGGGUGCACCGCGUCAUCGAGACAGGUAUUACGGUGAGCGGAGUGUUUGUGCAGGUGAUGCCACUCACUCUGCCCGCAACCAAAGUGGUAAUAUCUAAUGUCCCUCCGUUCAUAACCGAUGAGUUUCUCAGCAGAGAACUAUCCAGACACGGGAAAGUUGUUUCCCCGGUAAAAAAGAUUCUGUCUGGAUGUAAGUCUCAGUUGCUGAAGCACGUAGUGUCUCACCGAAGACAGCUGUAUAUGAUACUGAAUAACCGAGAUGCGGAGCUCAACCUCCGCUUCCACGUUAAAGUAGAUGAUUAUGAAUACGUGUUAUUUGCAACUUCAUCGGUUAUGAAAUGUUUUGGUUGCGGGGAGGAGGGACACACCGCGAGAGCCUGUCCGAAGCGCGGGGGUCCAGCUCCGCCUGAUCCUGGAGGAGCGGCUGCCGCUCCCCCGGCGGGGGGCUCUUCGCCGGGACCGGCCGCCCCACGCGCCGCGCCAGGACGCGCAGCUGCUGUGUCCAGCUUUGUACACGGGAUAGGUGGUGUUAAUUCACUUGGUGUGGUGGAAAAAAAUGGGGGAAAAAAACAAAAAAAACAGGGAGAGGAAGUGCAGGGGAUGUCAGGUGGUAUGGGAGGAGAAGAGGUAGAGGAGAUAGGUGCUGUAGAGGAGAUGGGUGAUGUGGAAGGGGUAGGUGGUACAGAGGAGGUUGGUGAGAUGAGAGUAGAAGAUUUAAAGGAGGUAAGUGAUGUAGCAAAAGAGGGGGGAAGUGCAGAGGAGGUGAGUGAAGUAAGAGUAGAAGAGGCAAAGGAGGCAAGUGAGGCAGAGGAGGUGAGUGAGGUAAGAGCAGAAGAGGAAAAGGAAGCGGGCGAUGUAGUUGAGGAAAUGGGUGGUGUAGAAGGAGAGAGGACAGAAAAAAUACAGGUUCCGUGGAGUGACCAGGAAAAGGCUUUUGACCGCGUUGAACACAACUUCCUCUGGAAAGUAAUGGAGAAGUUUGGGUUCAGCGCUGGUUUCAUAGGCAAGAUCAAGGUGUUGUACAGUGAAGUUGAGAGUGUGCUGAAGUUUAAUGGUACUCUGUGUGCUCCUUUUAGAGUGUGUAGAGGGGUCCGGCAGGGCUGUGCUCUGUCGGGGAUGCUCUAUGCGCUCUCCCUUGAACCUCUCCUCUGCAAAAUACGCUCCAACCUACAAGGUCUGGUUUUACCUGGUUUUAAUAGCAGAUUUGUUUUAUC
ensembl:lncRNA